AUCAGUGCCCUUAUAGCUCAGUGGUAGAGCAACCGCCUUGUAAGCGGUAGGUCGUGGGUUCAAAUCCUACUGGGG
rnacentral:tRNA from 2 species